AUUAUGUACCACUCAAGAGCAGUCGCCUGUCUUUUCCUAGUCGCGAGCCUCCUAGUGAUAACAGAGGCAUCGACCGCCGUCGAUUCACCGGAAUCCGGAGUGUCUUGUGAACAGAUAACGGAGAAUAAUUCCAUUGACCCGUCAAGGGAUUCCAAUGUCCCUUUGAAAACGCACGAUUAUAAGGAAACGGGAGACGUAAGCACAACAACAAACUCUUAUCCCUUUGAAAACCUUCCGGAGCAAGACCGAUCAAUCAUUAACGCUCCAUUGAGGAAAUGUCCGAGGGGACAGCGUAGAAAUCCCCAGGGGUUAUGCAAAGAUUUACUCUGAAAACCCGGCUAAUUACGAUGACCAAUAAUUCAACAUGACCCGAAUAAGCGCCGAAGAGCUCCUCGAAAUCAUCCCCUGAAGUGGCUGAAAAACUUCGCUAGGAAAAAACCUCCCCUAUCCAUAAAUUAAAUUUGAUGAUCAAUUCCUCCGCAUAUAUUGAUCCCACGAAAAUGGCUAUUUUCACUUCUAUGCACUGUCACGUGUGUCUGUAGGGCAAAUGCAUUGUCACGGAGUCAGACCGAUCGAUAUAGGUAGGAAAAACGAGUCUCUCCAGCUGAAUCUGCCUCACCUAUAUUUUUCGGACCCUCUGAUACCCUCAAAACCCCCCACUAACUGCAUCAUUGUACCGAAUUUUAAUGUUAUCCAUGCGAGAAAUGAGUGUUUAAUUCUCAACAAUGCGAAAAAAAAUCCCCUCAAUUAUUGUCCCCGUUAAUGAUUCAUAAAAUUAAUGUAAAACUUGAAAAUUGUAACGCAAUAAGGAAAAUGCAAUAAAACCGUAAAGAUAACAGAACCUCUGGA